UUUACUUUCAGUACAGUAUUGAAUAAAUUACAUGAGAUACUCAACACUUUAUUAUAAAAUAUGCUUUUUGUUAGGUGAUUUUUGUCAAAGUGAAUGUUAAUGUAAGUUUUGUAAGCAUGUUUAAGGUAGGCUAAUCAUGUUUGGUAAGUUAGGUAUAAUAAAUGCUUUUGCAAUUUACUAUAUUUUCAACUUAAAAUGGGCUUCUCAGGAUGUACCCCCAUCAUAAGUUGAGGAGCAUCUGAACCUCUUUUGUCUUUCAUACAUCCCAAGACAAAUGUAAAAAUAAUAACUAUAAAAAAGACAACUUUGGGCAUUACAAUUUUAGAAGGAAAUAUUAUUACAAAUUAAAUCAGUGCAUUUUUAUGAUAAUGGACCUCAUUUCAUAUGAUGCCUUGAACACAUAAAACACUCAGCAAAAUAUGGUAAUUAAUAAGCCUGGUUUUCUGUUUGAUAGCUUACCUAGAAAUAUUAAACAUGUGAAAUGGGAAAAGCCUUUGAUAGUUGGCUUUGAAAUUACAUUAAAUCAGUACCGUCAUAGCUGUUCUAUCACUCUGGAAUCAUGUCUAAGUUGUGAUUUUGCAAUGAUCAGUGGUAGUAUUCCAAGUAACACAAAAUACUUUGGUAGAAUUUAUGCUGUAUCUGAAACUGUAAAGAACCUAGUCAGCUGCUUGGAUCAAUCAAGAUUUUGUUUUAAUUCAGAAAGAAAGCAGAUGUAGAUUUCCAGAGUUUGUUAUCAGAGUUUGUGAUCAAAGACAUCAAAUCAACUAAAAAUAUUUAGGGGGAGUGUGUGUGUGUGUGUGUGUGUGUGUNNNNNNNNNNGUGUGUGUGUGUGUGUGUGUGUGUGCCUGUGUGUGUAACAGAAAUAGAAUAAAGAGGAAGGAAAAAUUACAAAUUUAAUUUUUAUGGACUUACCAACAGUGUCCAGUAUUAACUAACUGUAAAUUCAUGUUAAUAAUUUCCUAUAGCUUAAUCCCUUCUUUUCAGAUUCCUCUUUUCUACAACAACAAUCCUAAGACUAAUAAUCAGCAGACAUCAAAUCAAGACAUGUUAGGAGUCUUAAAAUACUACCUGAACCUAGAAGUAUGGACAUCUUACUUGAUAUAUGUAUGAUAUUGGGUAAAACAAAACACAAAAUUGUCACGAGAAGCCAAAGCUAUUAAAAUAGACCUUUACUUUUUCACUUUCUUUUAAUUCACUUGAAUGUUGAGUGCAGACAUUGCAUACAUGGUAAGAUUCAUGCUGUUAUUUCAAAAUUAUAUUAUCAGUUACAGAUACAUUCCAUUUUUACAUUUACCCUUAAAAUAAGUGAUGCCCUUUAACAUUAUGAUGUGUGAUUAUACCACACAAAAAAUGAUGGGAAAACUUAAUAUGAAAAAUAAAAAGAAACUUAAAGACUAUUUUUUGUUAAAAAUAUUUAAGAGCAUUAGACAAUUUCUCCAUUUGGUUUUCACAAAC
rnacentral:lncRNA from 1 species